CUGCAGCCAGCUAAGCUGGCCGGGUUCCUUUCCUCAUGGUGGCCCCACAUGCAAUGGAUGCAGACAGCAGCCUCCUUGCUAGCGUACGUAACCUUGUGCUUGUACAGGUGGCCCUGGGGAACCCUGGAGACCGUU
rnacentral:snoRNA from 1 species